AUUGAACGCUGGCGGCAGGCCUAACACAUGCAAGUCGAGCGGAGCGGCGGCCGAGUGAGUAAUGCCUAGGAAUCUGCCUGGUAGUGGGGGAUAACGUCCGGAAACGGGCGCUAAUACCGCAUACUAGCAGCUGAGCAUAGGUCGGAUUAGCUAGUUGGUGUGGUAAAGGCCUACAAAGGAGACGAUCCGUAUCUGUUCUGAGAGGAUGAUCAGGCACACGGGAACUGAGAAACGGUCCAGACUCCUACGGGAGGCAGCAGUGGGGAAUAUUGGACAAUGGGCGAAAGCCUGAUGCAGCCAUGCCGCGUGUGGGAAGAAGGUCUUCGGAUUGUAAAGUACGUUAAGUUGGGAGGCGUUACCAACAGAAUAAGCACCGGCUAACUUCGUGCCAGCAGCCGCGGUAAUAC
rnacentral:rRNA from 1 species